ACGCACAGUUAUGUUGCACCAAUAAACAGCUCGUUCGUGCAGAAUAAACAGUUCGUUCCAAGCUUUUGGUUGUCCAUACGUGAAACGGGCUGCGCCUGAGAUGGAAGAAGAAGAAUUAUUUUAACAGCUCGGAAGAAGAAGAGUCCUCGUUCAGCCGCAACUUCUACUUGCGAGUGCCUUCCUUAUCUAUAGGAUGUCGUGCUCUAGCCGGCUGACUCGCCGCUAGCUCUUUACCACACACACUACAACACCAUUUCCUGCCCUGGCCAAACGCCCUUUGUGGCUGGCGGCCACUGCCACCCUGGCUGAAGAAGAAGAAGAGAAGUCGGUAACGGCCACUGCCCCGAGGCAGAAGAAGAGAUCAUCGAACGACGAACCGUGCCGUUGUGAAGGAACCAGUUAGUUGGAAUCCCACCGGCGACUCAACUUGUGCGAGCGCUCCCACGGAGGUUACAGAAACGUCCACAGACCAUGAUCCAGCGACACUAUGCUCCGGCCAAGGCAAAGCCGUGACGUCGCGGAAGCUGGCGUUUGUUUUGCUUCCGAUGACUCGAAGAGAAGGGAAUGCGACGACGACGACGACGGUGAAACAGCACGGUCCUUUAAAAAUGGUCUUGCCGCAGUUCAUUUGAUCGUUCGGGCGUCCGACGCCGAACGAAGAGUGCUGCUUUUUCACAGCACAUUUGCUCCACGGAGGUGGAUCUUGUCAUGGGCUUCAUCCUGCGCCUACCAGAUAAGUGAUAACACGGCGUUCUGUAUUAUAGCAUUGUAUGUGGUACUUCAACCCAAGGCAAUUUAGGUUCACUGGCACACAUUUUUGUUCCAACUUUGGGUGGAAUAUGAAGAUACCGAUGUUAGACAUUAUGGCAAAACAGUCCAGAACAGUUCCGCCGGACGACGAUUUCAGUCACGCUUAAGGGUAGCACGUUGAGCACGUUUGGUGUAACGUACCCAUAAAGGCGGACUAAAGAACAGCUCAGCACACUCCGCGAAAACUCUUCUCUGCUGCGCGUUGUUGGUGCAACCUCGGGUUAGCCACUCAUUGCUGACAAGGCAGUUUGUUACGAGUCUAGAAUUUGGUGUGCUAACCAGGCAACCAAUUCGUCCAGUGACACUUGAGCAGAUAAGGGAAAUUCAGACCGGACUUCCGGCGGAUCGCACCGUACGGGUUGAACCCAGAGGGUGGAGACGACAGAAGCGCUUCAAGAGCGUGAGCGAGCUCUGUGAUGUUUGUCACCUGUACCUUCUCUGCCUUUCAUGCAUGAAACCCAUAUAAGCUGUCACGAUCUUCUUCGCUACCUAGCAGUUCUGUAUAGUACUGGUAGUCCAUCCUCCUCAUUUUCCUCUGACUCUGCCUCUAUGGCUAGGCGACACAAUUUAGAUCGCCAUGAUCGACCAGCCAUGGCAGUCCGACCAUGGCAUUCGGGUUCCGGCCGUACUCUCAAUUAUAUUUGCGUUGCUGUUUUGCCCUACGGUUUGCAUACUUCAAACGCUUACACAGAGUGCUCGAGCUUGCACAUUCACGUGCAGCUCCAUAGCGGGUUGGGCACUUAAUAUUCUGUAUUCUUAGUUCCUCGUGUAGGACCUUCCCUAGAAACGUCAACUCUCUUUUUCUUCUUUUGCGCACAUUCUUCGUUUUCCCCUUCGAGUACACCAGUCCCAUUUUUAUCUUGUGACGAAACCACGGGGCCACCAUGCUACGGGGCUAUAAGUGUUACUUCAAACGAUAUGUCAGUAAGGCCUUAUUGGUACUGCGCGGAUUGCAACGACAAAAUGCGUCAUUCGAGUGUAUGCUCGAAAUCCUAAGGAAUGGCUUACAUUUUAUUAGUAUAAACGCGCACGCUCUUCGCGUGUUCUGCAAGGCCCUUGCUCGGCAGGGCUAUCGAACGAAAUGUGUUUUCUUUUUUCAAGUUUGGAUGUUUUUUCAAGCACAUUACGACAACUAUACAGUAAAGGACAAUAUUCCAAAUUAAAUGUUAGCAACAUUAUAUCAACCACUUCAAACACAGUUCGCUGUUUUGCUUGGUCCUUCUUUCAACAGUCCCUGUGCCAUGUAUUACUAGGGAGCCUGGUCCUUAAGAUUGGCUUGACCUGUCUAAAGUGAAUUGAAAGUGGCCCUAAAGUGGCUUUACCUGUCACACAAACUUAAGCGCAUUUCAGGCGUAUUCUCCUUCGUCUGGCACGCGAGUGCAACCACAAGGGUUAGAGAGGCCUUAGGGGACGUGUGUGGGUCUCAUAAGUUACUGCAAGCAGGGGUCUCAAGUGACGAAUGGAUACGCCGUAGUGACGAAAUGUUUCAUCUGCCAAUGAAGGUAACUUCAGGGAUUGUUUCACUGCAAACCGAAUUUUUAUCUCAAGUAGCAUUGUGCAACGUACAGUACAAGAGAUUAACUUCAUAUCAGAUGGAAUCAGAUACAAUACAAGAAAUCAGAUUGAUAUUCGAUGGAAUCACAUAAUGGCGCGAUUUAACCGUUCCAGCACUGCUAUGGCUUCUGUUGCGCAAUCCAACAGCAAUAACUAACACCAACACCUUACUUUCCCAUAUACGGUUCAUUUUAGAAAAAUGCAGAACACAUUUAGUGGAUUUUAGAUGAACAGCAGGGCAGCUGUGUUGCGCUAAAAGAAACAUAAUGCCACCAGAGAAGACUACACAACAGAGUAUUUCGGGUCAUACGACUUCAUACUUUAGCUUAGUUUCUUCGAUCACAAGCAAUGUAUCUGGCGCUUUACCUUGGUUUUCAGUGUUUGAAAGUUGACCACCCUGAUCAGAGAUGCUGUUGUCCAUUUUCUCUGAAAUGCAACACUCCGCUCGUGUCGGACGCCACCGUUUGACAUGGCGCUCGGCUGAGCGCAAUCCAAUACCAGUAACUAACACCUACCCUUUACUUUCCCAUAUACGGUUCAUUUUAGAAAAAUGCAGAACACAUUUAGUGGAUUUUAGAUGAACCGCAGGGCAGCUCUGUUGCGCUAAAAGAAACAUAAUGCCACCAGAGAAGACUACACAACAGAGUAUUUCGGGUCAUACGACUUCAUACUUUAGCUUAGUUUCUUCGAUCACAAGCAAUGUAUCUGGCGCUUUACCUUGGUUUUCAGUGUUUGAAAGUUGACCACCCUGAUCAGAGAUGCUGUUGUCCAUUUUCUCUGAAAUGCAACACUCCGCUCGUGUCGGACGCCACCGUUUGACAUGGCGCUCGGCUGAGCGCAAUCCAAUACCAGUAACUAACACCUACCCUUUACUUUUCCAUAUACGGUUCAUUUUAGAAAAAUGCAGAACACAUUUAGUGGAUUUUAGAUGAACCGCAAUGCAGCUCUGUUGCGCUAAAAGAAACAUAAUGCCACCAGAGAAGACUACACAACAGAGUAUUUCGGGUCAUACGACUUCAUACUUUAGCUUAGUUUCUUCGAUCACAAGCAAUGUAUCUGGCGCUUUACCUUGGUUUUCAGUGUUUGAAAGUUGACCACCCUGAUCAGAGAUGCUGUUGUCCAUUUUCUCUGAAAUGCAACACUCCGCUCGUGUCGGACGCCACCGUUUGACAUGGCGCUCGGCUGAGCGCAAACCAAUACCAGUAACUAACACCUACCCUUUACUUUCCCAUAUACGGUUCAUUUUAGAAAAAUGCAGAACACAUUUAGUGGACUUUAGAUGAACCGCAGGGCAGCUCUGUUGCGCUAAAAGAAACAUAUUGCACCAGAGAAGACUACACAACAGAGUAUUUCGGGUCAUAGGACUUCAUACUUUAGCUUAGUUUCUUCGAUCACAAGCAAUGUAUCUGGCGCUUUACCUUGGUUUUCAGUGUUUGAAAGUUGACCACCCUGAUCAGAGAUGCUGUUGUCCAUUUUCUCUGAAAUGCAACACUCCGCUCGUGUCGGACGCCACCGUUUGACAUGGCGCUCGGCUGAGCGCAAUCCAAUACCAGUAAAUAACACCUACCCUUUACUUUCCCAUAUACGGUUCAUUUUAGAAAAAUGCAGAACACAUUUAGUGGAUUUUAGAUGAACCGCAGGGCAGCUCUGUUGCGCUAAAAGAAACAUAAUGCCACCAGAGAAGACUACACAACAGAGUAUUUCGGGUCAUACGACUUCAUACUUUAGCUUAGUUUCUUCGAUCACAAGAAAUGUAUCUGGCGCUUUACCUUGGUUUUCAGUGUUUGAAAGUUGACCACCCUGAUCAGAGAUGCUGUUGUCUAUUUUCUCUGAAAUGCAACACUCCGCUCGUGUCGGACGCCACCGUUUGACAUGGCGCUCGGCUGACCGCAAUCCAAUACCAGUAACUAACACCUACCCUUUACUUUCCCAUAUACGGUUCAUUUGACCGGCGUACUCGCUGCCCUCCAUUGCAUUCCAUCUGGUUCGUUAGAAUAUUUGUUGAUCUCUUGAUGCUUUAGAAAGAAAUGUCCACGCAUGGCCCUAGGAGAGGCCCUUCGAUGGUGUACUAGUGGAAUGGAAGCGCAAGAGCGUCACAGUUUUGUUCCUGGAGGAGUUAUUUUCGCUGUUUUGGCUUCAUGGCAGAAUGCACUGGUGUGCUAUUCUUGUUGUACUUGGCCAGAACAAUGGGUUCUCCAGAAAAUAUUCAUGUAGGGCAUGAAAGUUGAAUUUGUCUUGUACGCUUUGCAACUUUGUGCGCAACUGUGCGCAUUUUGUCUCAAGUAUUAACAAGCUCAGUGUGGCUUGCAAAGAGUCUGUUGCCAGCGUUGCCCAGGGAAUACAUGAUUGAUUCGAUGGACGGGAAGGGAUAAAUCAUGUAUUCCCUGGGCAACGCUACUGUGUUUUCAACGCUUGAUUAUAGCACAAGGUUCUUGCAGAUCCAAGUUGCCCCGGAGAAUGUCCCGAAGACAGCCUUUACCUGUCAUAGGGGUCUGUUUGAGGUCGUACGGAUGCCUUUCGGUCUGUCUAACUCACCAGCCAGCUUCCAGCGGUUGAUGGACACUGUAUUAGGAAAUGCGAAGUACAAUUUCGCGAUGGCGUACAUGGAUGAUGUCGUAGCGUUUUCCAGAAAUUUUCAGGAACACUUGGAACACCUCUCAAUCGUCCUUGCAAGGAGCAGGUGGGGCUAACCAUUAACCCCGGCAAGGUACAGCUGGCAUCGCCUAGGAUCAGCCUUUUCGGCUUCGUGGGGGACGGAGGAACCAUCAGUACUAGCGAUGACAAGCUAAAGGCUAUCAUGGAGUUUCCGGUUCCCGGUAACGUAGUCAGUGCCAGGAUUGCACGGCACACCAUCCUCAAGUUGACUUUACCGGCGUACACCCUGCCCUUCAUGGAAGCUAAGCAUUUCACCUGGAAUAUUUUUUGGCCCUCAGUGUUAGAAAGACGUGUCAACAUUUAGGUAUUCAAGGAGAGCUGCCAUGAUGGUGUACAAUUGGAAUGGAAACUCAAGUGCGUCAGUUCAAUGUGCGUUCAAGUCCGUCAAAGCAAUGUGUUACACACAAAAUGUCGUCCUCUUCGAAAGUGAUGAAGUCACGCAUGAAAGGCGAACCUGUCUUCUACGGUUCUUUUAGUGCAGCUGUAGUGUGCCUCAGAUUUUUUUUGCUUUUUUUUCUACGACGAAAGAAGUAACAACUGCUCAGUGUGCCUUCCGAAGCGGCUUCAUCGUGGUCCCUCAGGAUGCAACAUAUCGGGCUGUUGGUUCAGUUGUGCCGAUGUAGAUUCUAGCGUUCAUGUUCCCUAGUUCAAUCUGAGGGUCAUGCCUUUCUUCUUUUUUACGAAGAGCGUUUCGAGACUAAUGCAAGGCAAAGGUGUCACAACCUGACUAGUCUAUAAACUAUAAGAUUUGCCGUAAAUAUACAGAGGUGUUGUUUUCGUGAUUGUUAAAAGUGAUAGUCCUUGUUGUAGGAUGUCACUUAUAUCGACAAUAAACAAUCUACAAUCUU